AAAAACUCCGGUGGUAUGAGAUGGGCCCGCGUCUGAUUAGCUAGUUGGCGGGGUAACGGCCCACCAAGGCAACGAUCAGUAGCCGACCUGAGAGGGCGACCGGCCACAUUGGGACUGAGACACGGCCCAAACUCCUACGGGAGGCAGCAGUGGGGAAUAUUGCACAAUGGGGGAAACCCUGAUGCAGCGACGCCGCGUGAGCGAUGAAGUAUUUCGGUAUGUAAAGCUCUAUCAGCAGGGAAGAAGAUGACGGUACCUGACUAAGAAGCCCCGGCUAACUACGUGCCAGCAGCCGCGGUAGUACGUAGGGGGCAAGCGUUAUCCGGAUUUACUGGGUGUAAAGGGAGCGUAGACGGCGGUGCAAGCCAGAUGUGAAAGCCCGGGGCUCAACCCCGGGACUGCAUUUGGAACUGUAUGGCUGGAGUGUCGGAGAGGCAGGCGGAAUUCCUAGUGUAGCGGUGAAAUGCGUAGAUAUUAGGAGGAACACCAGUGGCGAAGGCGGCCUGCUGGACGAUGACUGACGUUGAGGCUCGAAAGCGUGGGGAGCAAACAGGAUUAGAUACCCUGGUAGUCCACGCCGUAAACGAUGACUACUAGGUGUCGGGCAGCAAAGCUGUUCG
rnacentral:rRNA from 1 species